rnacentral:rRNA from 1 species
UACAGGGGGGGCAAGCGUUGUUCGGAAUUACUGGGCGUAAAGAGCUCGUAGGCGGUCUGUCGCGUCUGCUGUGAAAACUCGGGGCUUAACCCCGGGCCUGCAGUGGGUACGGGCAGACUAGAGUGCGGUAGGGGAGACUGGAAUUCCUGGUGUAGCGGUGAAAUGCGCAGAUAUCAGGAGGAACACCGGUGGCGAAGGCGGGUCUCUGGGCCGUAACUGACGCUGAGGAGCGAAAGCAUGGGGAGCGAACAGG